rnacentral:rRNA from 1 species
GUACGGAAGGCAGCAGUGAGGAAUAUUGGACAAUGGGCGCAAGCCUGAUCCAGCCACGCCGCGUGAGUGAUGAAGGCCUUCGGGUCGUAAAGCUCUGUGGGGAGGGACGAACGAACCGUUGAAGAAGCGGGAAUGACGGUACCUCCUUAGCAAGCACCGGCUAACUUCUUGCCAGCAGCCGCGGUAAUACGAAGGGUGCAAACGUUGCUCGGAAUCAUUGGGCGUAAAGCGCACGUAGGCGGCCUCAUAAGUCGGAUGUGAAAUCCCUCGGCUCAACCGAGGACGUGCAUCCGAAACUGUGAAGCUCGAGUAUGGAAGAGGGUCGCGGAAUUCCCGGUGUAGAGGUGAAAUUCGUAGAUAUCGGGAGGAACACCAGUGGCGAAGGCGGCGACCUGGGCCAAUACUGACGCUGAGGUGCGAAAGCGUGGGGAGCAAACAGGAUUAGAUACCCCAGUA